GUCCUGCACCGGAGGCCCCUCUCAAGGGACCAGUAGAAGCUGCUCGAUGACAGCUCCCCCGUUGUCGUCGUGUACAUCAUUGAGAACCAGGGGAAGGCGAGGCUCGAUGACAAUGACGAUGACCGCCGCAGGCAGGCUCAUGAAGCCGAGGCCCUAGCAUGCGCCUCUGGUGGCGAAGCCGCGAGCAGCGCUUGGAUAAUCGACUCCAUAGCAGCUUGCAAGCUGCAGCCCCUGUGACUGAGCUGGAAGAAGGCCCCUCUCAAUGUUUGCUUCAGCGUGCUCGGUGGGACAAGUAGUAAGCAGAAAAAUAAAUCCAGGAUGGCACUGAACCCAAGUGCUUAGUUUUUAUUUUUUUGUUUUUGUGCAAGUGCAAGUGCUUAGUUUUAUACCGUGUCAUGUAAAUUAUAAGAGUAACAUUUUGUUUUUUUUCUUGUUAAAGAGUUUAACCUAUCAUUCCAUUUAAAGAGAUUUCAUGCUCCACAAGUGCCGUGGUGUGAAUUGUAN
rnacentral:lncRNA from 1 species